rnacentral:rRNA from 1 species
UAACCUNNNGCUCUGCUAACACAUGCAAGUCGAACGGUAACGCGGAGAGCUUGCUCUCUGGCGACGAGUGGCGGACGGGUGAGUAAUACUUAGGAAUCUGCCCAGUAGUGGGGGACAACUCGGGGAAACUCGAGCUAGUACCGCAUACGCACUACGGUGGAAAGUGGGGGACCUUCGGGCCUCACGCUAUUGGAUGAGCCUAAGUCGGAUUAGCUUGUUGGUAGGGUAAUGGCCUACCAAGGCGACGAUCCGUAGCUGGUCUGAGAGGACGAUCAGCCACACUGGGACUGAGACACGGCCCAGACUCCUACGGGAGGCAGCAGUGGGGAAUAUUGGACAAUGGGCGCAAGCCUGAUCCAGCAAUGCCGCGUGUGUGAAGAAGGCCUGCGGGUUGUAAAGCACUUUCAGUAGAGAAGAAAAGCUUACGGUUAAUACCUGUGAGUCUUGACGUAACCUACAGAAGAAGCCCCGGGUAACUUCGUGCCAAAAGCCGGGNANUCCGGNGGNGCAGGCGUUAAUCGAAUUACUGGGCGUAAAGCGCNCUAGGCGG